UCUUUCUUUUGUCUUUUGCCCAAUAAACGGUAGUUGUAAAUCCUAUUUGAUAUUUUCUCCAACAAGUUGUUCUUACCUAGUAACCAGUAACGAACACACCUCAUUUUCCCCAGCGAGUCACCCUUGAUAUGUUUACUCUAACCGAUAACAGAUACUCUCUGUCAGAUUAUGUUAUCUUCCUACCCAGUAACCGGUAAUAGAUAAUAUAUUUCUAGUGCUUUUGUGUUGAAG
rnacentral:lncRNA from 1 species